rnacentral:rRNA from 1 species
GAUGAACGCUGGCGGCGUGCCUAAUACAUGCAAGUCGAGCGAACAGACGAGGAGCUUGCUCCUCUGAUGUUAGCGGCGGACGGGUGAGUAACACGUGGAUAACCUACCUAUAAGACUGGGAUAACUUCGGGAAACCGGAGCUAAUACCGGAUAACAUGUUGAACCGCAUGGUUCAACAGUGAAAGACGGUCUUGCUGUCACUUAUAGAUGGAUCCGCGCCGCAUUAGCUAGUUGGUAAGGUAACGGCUUACCAAGGCAACGAUGCGUAGCCGACCUGAGAGGGUGGUCGGCCACACUGGAACUUAGACACGGUCCAGACUCCUACGGGAGGGAGCAGUAGGGAAUCUUCCGCAAUGGGCGAAAGCCUGACGGAGCAACGCCGCGUGAGUGAAGAAGGUCUUCGGAUCGUAAAACUCUGUUAUUAGGGAAGAACAAAUGUGUAAGUAACUAUGCACGUCUUGACGGUACCUAAUCAGAAAGCCACGGCUAACUACGUG